GUGCUCCCUUCAGCAGCACGUAUGCUAAAAUUGGAAUGAUACAGAGAAGAUGAUCAUGGCCCGUGUGCAAGAAUGACACACAAAUUCGUAAAGCGUUCCAUAUAUUU